AUGUGACCUCAAAUCAGGUAGGACUACCCGCUGAACUUAAGCAUAUCAAUAAGCGGAGGAAAAGAAACUAACAAGGAUUCCCCUAGUAACUGCGAGUGAAGCG
rnacentral:rRNA from 1 species